AUGGUCUCCUUCUCCUUUCCUUUUGCCUUAUAGUACCAGAGCUUGGUUGGAAUAGCAAACCAUGUAACCAACAAAGGAAGAUGCUAGCGAGGUACAAGAACAAUGCACAGUUUCUUGAUAUGACAUUCCUUGGAGCAAAAACAGUAAUCUCCAAUACCAGCUUAUCAUCAUGCUUCGAGACGUACCAGCUUUGAUUAGGUUAUAACUUGGGACAAUCCUCUUCUCCAGCCUCUAGUU